UUGUUUGUGUUAUUGUUUAUGCAUCACUCUAGCACCUUCAUUCAUAUUUAAAGGUAUAGAGUUUGAUUUGUUAGUUGAGUUGUAAUUCAACAUUCAAUAUUCUGAUAUUUAUAGUGAUCAGUGGGGUUAGUGAUUGAGAGAAAGUGAGAGGGGUUCUCAUAUUUGGGGGAGUCCUAAAUAGAAAUACGUUGGUAUAAUUAAGAAGACGGGCAUUGAACACAGGGUUAUU
rnacentral:lncRNA from 1 species